UAUUUUAAAAUCAUUGAACUCUUAAGGGUCUUAUGGAACUAGGAGUUGUUAUCUUUUGCCUUGAAUCCUUGGUAAUUGUCUCCUACCUCAAAAUUGUAUAGUGUAAAAAUCUCCGAGCAGAAUCUUUGGAGGUUAUUCUAGUGGGUAGGAUUCUGCAGUUGCAACCCUGAAGUGAUUUUAACGCGUCUAGCAUAUAUGCCUAGCUGGAUGCUUGCUGAUCAAAGACAUCGUUACAGCCUUGAAGAGAAUGUGAAGAGAAUGAGGGGCUGUACAUUUCUCUCACAACCAAUGGUUGUGUUGCAGGGACAUGAAGCAAAAUUUGAAACAAAAGAGAAUAAGGGAGGUUGGGACAAACAUAUUCUAGAGCUUGGUUUCAUAGCCACCCGCAGUGGCACAAAGAAAGAGAAUUAUCAAAAUUUGCAAUAAACUAAUUAGCAGGUAUAGAUAAUCAGUUUGACGAGCCCUCAUAAUAGACGAGAUUGGCUUCAGCGAAGGAUCGGUAAGACUCCACCUCAUCCGGAGUGCAGCGAAGUCUAUGAGUCAUUGUGUCAAAAGUUUUCUACAGGAUUAUUGGUAGGUCGGUACCCUAUCCCAUUUGAUGUCAAAUAAUCUUAGAGGCUUUGUAGCCAGAGGUUUAUUUUGUAUAGUAUGUCAGAGGCCUUGACGGCCGAUAUGUAUUCACGUUUUAAGAAAAAUGGUUCAGUAAUAUAGCGUUUUCCAACUUAUAGUUA